CGCGGGUCACGUGGGCGCGCGGCGCUGCCAUAAACACGGCAAGAUGGCGGCGCUCACGCCGCCCGCCCGCCCGUGCUGCGUCAUGUCGCGCCCCGGCCCCGCCGCGCCCGCAGGCUCGCCGCGCUCAAACCGCCCCGGGGGACACGGAGAUGAGUCGGUUCCCCUCGCACGGCUCAGCCCCGGCAGGGUGAGAGCGGCUCCGGCGCUGCGGGAUCCCCGGCCCUGCGGAGGGCGGGAGGGAGCAGCCCGGGGCUGCGGGCAGGGAAUGGCCCCCAUCCCCUCGCUGGGGCGCUGAAGGAAUUCUGGUUCCCGUGAAGCAACUGCGAAAAUGUCACCAGCCCCAAAGGGGCAGGAGGAUGUGGAGCUGGAGUUUAAAAAGCGACCAGGCCAACUUAAACGGGUUUCAAAGUUGCAAACUUGUAAGGCAGCGUUUUCACGGCUGGACCCAGCCCAGUGUUUUGUGUUUCUCUCUUAAAAACAGCCUCGGGGACAUCUCAGCACCUUCUCUUUGCCAGCAUGACUUUGUGAUAACUCACAAAAAGGUGUCAGUGUUGGAGCAGAUUCUUGCGGAGGGGAGUGGAUGAGGAGGAGUCAAUCCCUCUCCCACGGAAGCACAGGCUGGAUGAGAUGGACACAAAUCACAGAGACAAGUGAGGAGCUCCAUGAGGGUGUUCUGGUUUGGUGUUUUCCAUGUGUUCACAUUCCCAGAGUGAUAAAAACAUCCCCUGGUUGCUUGAGCAAAAUCUCCUCCCUGUGCAGAAUAUCCGCAUCUGCAUCCAAAGCCUUGCUGCAUCCUGGUUUGAAAUGGAUCCAGAAGACUCUGGAAAUGAACAUUUCCACAAGUUUAUUGCUAAUGAAGCCUAAUUAAUUUUGGAUGUAAAUGUGCCAAGCUCCUGCAGUUGUGUGCAGCCGUGUUAAAGGAAAACUCACAGUGGUUUUAUCUGAACAUUAUCAGAGGAACAGGGUUUGUUGAGUUCCUUCUUAGACUGUGGACUUCUCCCUUCUUCACCUCUUGAACUCAGCUAAGUUAAAGGAAAUGUCACAGCCCUUUAAAACACCUGCCUGAAAUAUAAGAGGAAAUGAGGAAAAGAGAGAGAUGGGAGAAGAUUCCUACACUGCUCCUCACCUCUAUAGCUUUCAUGGACUGGAAUGGUAACUUCAGCUAUUUCCACCAGAUUUUGUGCUGCAACCUGGAUGUUCUCAGUAGGUUUGAAACCCAUAUUCGAGUGCACUGUGACAAUUCUCCUCUUAAUGUGGACUGUGGCAUUUAAAGGCCACCCAGGGUGACAGAGACCAGCCAGAACAUCACAUUUCUCUAAGAUUCCUGACACUCUUUUUUCCCUUCCCACAGCAGCCACAUCGUCCUGCUGACUCCAUUCAACCAGCACAGCUGGACUGGAGCACUCAGCUCAUCCUUAAUGGGAAAAUACUCCACUUUCCUCCAGAUCUGGAGCUUGUUUGCCAUCCUGCCUGGAUUUCUGAGCCCUCUGUGCCAUUGUGAACACCCCUCCUGGAUAUACAACCUUGAUUCCCAAUCUCUUUAUGACAGAGGGAGGGGGAAUAUGGUAAACUCCACCUCAAAAUGCUGCUUUUCAACCCAGGGUGAGGAAUUGUCAUUUCCAAAAGUGCACCCGAGGAAAACAGCAGCAACAGAGUGAGCUUUGGAAUUUGUCCAGGCAUUAAAGAUUUUUAGAAAUGCUACGUGCUCUGUGUCACGUGUGUCCCCCUGAAUGGGACAGGGAACCUGGACAGUGCUGGGCGUGACCUGAGCAAUGCUCCAACCACGUACACAAACUCUGGGGGGUGUGGACAGAGAGGGACAUGAUCAAUAUUGGAUCAUUUUGGUGACAAACGUGGCAUUUCCCAUCUGAAAAUAUUUAAUUAUUGCUCAGGUUGAGGUCACUGCUGUGCUUUGUGCCUCCCCACCAGCACACUCCACUUCCAGUAAGUGCUAAACUUUCCCUUAUAAAACCCAGCUGUUGCACAUACAACUUUUUCUGGGAUAUAUAUAUAUCUCCCUGAAAAAAAAUACCCAUAUAUAUCCAUAAAUAUCCGGGUGGAUGUGGAGCCAGUCCAUGAGCAGCAGCACUGUCUAGCUGCAGUGGUGUGGCGGGCAGGCAGCCAGGCAGCAAGUGGGUACCUGUGAGCUGUGCCAGCAGCAAGCUCAUCCUUCUGGAAAGGGCUGUGCUGGGAAGUGGAUGAGCUCAAGAAAAUGCAUUUGAGCUUCUGGGCACUAUCGAUUUGUCUUGAUGUGUUUUAUUCAUCUGCUUGAAGCACAAGAAAAACGUGCUGGUGGAUGGAGUCGGAGUUCAGGGGAGGGGGAGCAGAAGUGGGGCUUGGAGCUGGCCACCAUCAUCAUCUUCCUCCUCUGCAGCUGCUCUAGAGCUCUACACAAACCCAGUUUCUGCUUCCCAGCAAGGCAGCAGAAGGGAUUUUUUUCAGCAGAGAAAUCCGGAGGGAAAAUGAAAAUAAAACAGUUGGUUUGGUUUGGUGUAAGAACAAUGAAGAACCAGAGAGAUGGUAUCAGGAAUAAACAGACAGUGAAGGCAAGCAGCAACAUGAACACGCCUGCUGCAGGGCUGGGACACCCAGCAGCACCUUCACACUCCCCAGCUUGGAGGAAAGUGAGUGAACUCAUUCCCCCGGCCAGGAAAGUCGGGAAUUGAGCUCCUGUUGCACCUCCCACCCACGGCUCUGGCAGCUCGCUGCAGCCUGCCCAGGAAAUCCCCCUGGAAGCCAGGACACAAAAUCUAAUCUCUGCUCUGCCAAGUACCCCUGCACUACCGACGUGAAGUAGCUCUCCUUCCCCAAAAUGAGAUUAUUAGCUUGAAACAAAAGGGUUGGGCACCAUGUUUAGAAGUAGUUAAUUGCUCGGAAGCAAUUCACACCUUGCCCGUGUCUCAAAAUAAAUUCUCUCGCUUGCUUUUCCAAGCAGAGCUCUCUGAAAACCGUGUCAGCAGCGGGGUUUCACGCAUGUUCCGUGAGCACAGGAAGCUGAAGAUAAAUUCAGCAACGGAUCAGAUGUGAAGAACUUGUGCACUUGGCUGUCUAUUUAUACACCCCACGAGCAGCCAGGGGCCCCACGGGCUCUGAGGUGUUCCCUGGGGAUGGGGUGCAGGGGUACCCAAAAACCCAGCUGAAGGGCUGCUUUGGAUUUUGGAGCACCCAGGGUUUGGUUGGUGACCCCCUCCUCCUGCUCCCCAUCCUGCAGCACGGGGAGAACCAAAAAUACAAUUUUUGAAAUGAUUUCUAAUUUCCACAGCGCUCUGCAGAAGCGAGCGAGAGCACAGAGUUGUUCUCAGAAUGCUUUCAAAUCCUACUACAGGUUAGGGAAUUUUACAUCUCCUUUUACUCAUCUCUGACUUCAUUGCAUCCUCCUGAAUUCUGCUGAUACGAGUGAGGAGAACCAGGCCCCAGAGUUACUGCCAGGAACAAAUCAAUGACAAACUGGAACCACUUAGAGAGUGUUAAAUCACCUUUAUAUAAAAGUCCUGUCAAUCCCAAGCUGAUGCCAUCAGUGAUUUAAAGCACUUUACCGUAUGCCCUUCAGUGUAACUUGAAAUAUGUAUUUUAAAAAAGCUUUUAAAACAUUUAAACUGUUUAAAGUGAAGCGUAAAUAUCCCAUUUCAGAGGGAAAGGUGAAGCUUGAAAUCAAACUGCAGAGUGGACAAGGAGGGGAUAAUCCAUGCAUCCAUCCCUACCCCUUCUUUAAAGAAGGCUACAAGAGGAAAUUUGUUGGAAUUUAGUUUGAUUUUUAAAUCACAACUACCAAGAUGGUCAGAUCUCAUCUUCUGUAUUUUGCCUCUUAUUUUUUUGGUGGAGAAUAUCAGUGCAUCCUGGAAUUUACCAAAUAAAGAAGGAUGUAAGAUACAAGAUGAUUCUUCAGAUGUGUCACUGCACUCCAGUACAUAGAGGGGAAAAAAAAGGUUUAUUUUUCUUUAUUUACUUUUCUGCAGCUCUUUGCGAGCCUGUUCUCUUGCUAAGCAAGAAACAAAGCCACAAUUACAGAUGAUUAAUUCCUUAGAGAAAACUACUUUGAGAGUUUUAAUACAAAAUUGCAUCUUUCCUAUAGGCUGGAAUGUUGUGGUAAACACAGAGAAUUUUGGGUAUAGGUUGGAAAUGCCUCCCUGUUAUUAACAUAGUUCUUGGAGGAAUUUUUAGAAGCACAUUGAUUUCAUCCCACUUUCGUGUCAGAGAACAACCAGCAGAAAUCAGCAGUCCCAAAAUCAAGGAAAAGGAGGCAAAAGCUCACGUAGCACACAGGACUGGGAGACUGAACACACAAUUUCAGUGGAAUCCAAGUGCCACAGCAGCUCAGCCUGUUGUUUGUUUUUUUAAAGUGAGGUGUGUGAAUUUAAUUCUGGCUGAAGGACGUGGCCUUUGGGAUCCUGGGUCAUUCCUGGACAGGAUCCUGAGCUCUGGGCAUGGAUUUACAUGGAGGAGAGGCAAAGCUGCUCUCCUCCACGAGCAGCCCCAGGCUAAGCCCCUUAUGCAAUCCUUGGUCACAACCUCAGCUGGGCAUCUCCAGGGUUUAAGGACCUUGGCAGCUUCAGUUGCUGUGCUGAGAAACAAGUAAGGCAUAGAUAAUGCAGGUCUGGGGUGCUCUGCAGCAUGAAAACCCACCAAGAAAAAUGAUUUUAUCCUUAUCAUGGCAAAGCCACGGGAAGGGCUGGUGAGAAGGAAGGAGAACUGGUGGAAGCAGCUCCUGCAGGUCAAAUGUGGGGGAAAGGGAACAAAUAGAGGGCAGGCCUGGGAACCAUGGCACAUCCAUACAUAUCUUAGGUGUUGGAGCCCUGGGUGCUCAGAAUUCCAGACUUUCUGUGCUGGCAGGCACUGACCCCCAGGAGAGCACUGCACCGACCUGAGGCUGUGGAGAAGGAUUCCAAAAUGGAAUGACAGAACUGGGAUUGUGGGUAUGGAGAUUGAAUAGAAGUGUGUGAUAUCACAGGGUGGGAAACUUAGAAUUUAAAGCUUUAGAAUGUAGUAAUAUAUAUAAG